ensembl:lncRNA
GUCGGAGUUUAAUUAUUUGCAAAUGACCCUUUUAACUUUACCUAUGUUCCAUGAAGAGGUUUGAACUGCAUGUGUUAUUCGUCCAUUGAAAAACCCCUGGCAGUCAAGGUGCCAUGCAAAGUGGCCUUACAGUUCAAUGUCUUGUCCAAGACAGAUCGAAGAAAUAUUGGAUCAAACCACUAAUCCUGUGAUCAGUGGACAUUCAAUUCUACUAUCUGAGCAAUAGCCUUUUUUUUUUUUUUUUUUGGCUUUCAUUCUUAAAUCUUUCUCAGGCUCAGCUGUUGUAAUCUCUCAGAAAGAAGCUGUAAAGCUUUGUCAUCAGUUCUCCGCUCCCAGUCCUGUAGGCUGACUGAGCUAGACCUGAGUAACAACAAACUGCAGGAUUUAGGAGCGAAGCAGCUGUGUACUGGGCUGGAAAAUCCACAUUGCAAACUGAAAAUUCUCAGGUCAGAUUACAGCUAAUUUUGGAUCAAUUAAAGCCUGUUUUCUGUUUAUGUCACUUAAUUUUUAUUAAUAUUUACAUUUUGUGUUAAUAUCGUCUAAACCAGGCUCUCAGGUUGUAUGAUCACAGCGGAAGGUUGUGUUGCUUUGGCCUCAGCUAUGAGGGGCAACCCCUACCAUCUGACAGAGUUGGACCUGAGCUACAACCAUCUAGGAGACUUUGGAGUGAGGCUGCUAUCGGCUAGACUGAGAGACCCGCUCUCCACACUUGAAACUCUCAGGUAAUGAACACACAAAGUAUUUUCCCUUGAGUGACAAAUGUCCCCAGUGAAUGAGUAGACUCAUCAACAUAUUUUGCAUCACACCACACUAGGAAGCACAGGCUGUGGAGGAGGAGAGGCCCCAAUCUUCAUUUCUAGCUUAUUGAAUUAACCAUACAUCUGGACAGUUAUUUGGUAAUUCCCCUUGGAUUCUGUUUAUCUCGAUAAGCUCUUUUAUCUAGCGCUUGUUGAAACCUUUCAUUUUAUAAAAGGCUUUGUGAAGUUUUCUGAUACCCUGUUUUCUCGAGCUAUGAAAAGUUUCCCAAAUAUAAAAGCUGUCCAUUUAUCUUUUUUUUUUUUUAAAUA